CAUUUCCUAUUCUUUUAAAAUUUGGGCCAGCUGAUCCGCUCAUCCAGCCCAUACCCCAACAGCCCAAUAUAACAACAUCAACAUAACAGCCCCAAUUGUUUUCCCUUUUUUAAACUGGCAAACAGGCCCAAUCCGUUCUACCCAACCAGCCCACCAGCAGCUCCCACCAACACACCGACCCAACAGGCCCAAUACCCCUGACCCGCUCCAAGCCCCGCUCCCAUUCCCUUUUUACCCACAUCUCAAUCCAAACAGCAACAUCAGUUUUCAACAAACAACAAUUAACGACAACAGCCAACGACUUCAAAACCAGGACCAACAAAUUCAACAUUGUCAACUGCAAUCUCGACAACAACAACCAGCGAGUCAACAACGGUGACCCCCCAGACGCCCUUUUACUAUUUUGCCCCUCCGUUCAGCCAUCUAUGGCAAAAAUUAAAUGGGUUACUCUUUCUCAGUCUUUGAUUCACCAUUUCGGGUAAGCAAUUAAUGCCCAACGGCUCUCUACUUUGUCUCACUGUGGAAUUCAAAGUUUCUCAACAAAUCAACUCAAAUUCCCAAUUCGAAUGGUUUCCUCGAGAAUUAAUGCCCAACGGCUCUCUAACAAGUUGAAAACGAAACUCCGGCGGUGGUAAGUCUUUAAUCGACUCGCAGUUCCAGUUCGCUGCCCCGGGAAAGGUAAAUUCUCCAUCUUGCUUUUCUCCUUAGUUUACUAUUUUCGUCGUUUCUAUUUUAUUAUUGCGGUUCAGGAAGGGUGCUUGAUGUUUUCUGUUGGUGGUAUUGUUGCUGUAGUUAGACAUUCUGAAGCUGAAUUUUGUUUGGUUGCUAUGUUUAGUUCCUUGCUCUGUCGGUGGUCUUGCUGCUAUAGUCGAUUUUUUUUUAUUUUUUUUUAAUAUUUGUGAUUCUAGUGUUAAGCUGUAGUUGAAUCUCACAACUAGUGCAAGAGUGACUAUGGUUUCAUUUGAGAUUUAUGAUUAUCAUUGUGUCGUGCGAAAGUUUCAAGCUUUGAUUAUUCGUGAGGAUGUGAAGUUGUUUCUCUGCUGUCUUUAGAACAAGGAAAAUAAGUCUUUCAAAUAAAGUGAUUUCUUCUUCAUGAAACUACUCUUUCUCGAAAAACAGUGAAGGUAUUGAUGCUUCUUAUUCCUUGUUUCCAUUGCUAUCCAUAUUGAUUAUUAUUGUUCAUAAGCCUAUCAAAUAGACUUAGUUUCCCUAAAAUUGCCUUGUUAUUGGUAUUAUUAUUUAAAAUUGUGUAAUGUGUUUUCUAGAGUUGGCAUGAUUAAUUCACUUUCCGGUAAGUGAUCUUGAGGCUGCCGUUAUAUGUCCAAUAAGUAUUUUCAAAUUAUCACUGCCUCAUCUUCUUUGACCACGUAUGAUAGAAUAUAUCUCUCGGUUGAUCGUGGGGUGUGCAAAAAUAGAAUCGACUAAUAAAUCGAACCGAUAAAAAUGUUAUUGGAUUAUUGGGUUUAAGGGUUCUUAUUAGUUUUAUAAAAAAAAUGUAUUGGGUAAAUGGUUCGGUUUCUGUUUUAGCUUACUGGGACCGAUAACCCAAUAAGGAUACACUAAAUUAUUGUUUUGUAUCCCUAUUUAUAUUAUGUAUAUAAAUCUCUCUCUCUAUAUAUAUUAUAUGCACUACUUAUUCACAGUUCAGCGAAUCACAAAGUAUUAACCUAUUCAGGGCAACAAAGGCACAAUAUAAAACUGGGCUAUUAUAGUAUUGAAAAGCUUGAAGCAUUUAUAGCUUCCAACAAUUAGGAUUCAAGUUUUUUCUGAACUAACAUUCAGUUCAAGUUUGAAGAUUUUUGUAAGCUAAAAUGCAUUGCGUAGGAUUUUGGCGAUCACUAAGAUUUCAUUUUUUUAUAUUAGUUGUUACUAUUUCUAUUCUAUAAGUAUUUUCUUAUUGGUUAAAUCGAAAAUCGAACCGUUAAGGAUCAAAAACUGACCGAUAAGAAAGUGUCUUAUUGGUUGGUUAUUGAUUUUACAUAUUUAAAAAUAAAAAACUGAUAAAUCGAACCAAUAACACAUAAAACCGAAUCAAACCGACCGAUGAACACCCCUAGUUGAUUGUUAUGUAUUGAUGACUUCAUCGGUGUAAAUAUAUGCGUGAAAAUGUAAGUGUGGGAUAGCAUGUUUGAUUGGUAUACGCCUAUGAAAUAAUAUGAAUCAAUUGUUGUACAGUAGCAUUUGUUAACUUAUCCACCUGCUUUGUUAGUUUGCUUUGGUUUAUACAUACUUGAGUAUUAAUUGUGCAUCUCAUCUUUAAAUUGAUAGCUAAACCUUAUCUUUUCUUUCUUUUGCAUGAACCCAUAUUGAAUGAGUCCACUUGGACUCCAUCUAUCCUCGCAUUCGAAUUUCGUCAUGUCCGAGCCUCAAUCAAAGUCUUAAAUACCUUUAUUUUUGAAGAAACAAGGCUGUAUACACGUGUAUACAACAGAUAUACGCAUAUAUUUGGCAAGAAUGAAAAGGGAAGCUGAUUAUAUCGUGAAGGGACUAAAUAUGUGUGUAUAUGACUGAGAUAAAGUCGCAUAUACACCAAGUAUACAAGAAAAACACAGAUAUUGAAGCUGUAAAUAUACAUCUGGUAUACAUUUUAGAAAAUGGACCCAAGUUCAUAAGAAUGAGGUCCAAAAGCUGGACAGCUUGUUAAUGGGCCAAUAAAGGCCCAAAUCUCAAGCUUCUGUUCUCUUUUUCCUUGUAUGUUAUUGUUGUUAAUAUGUAGUAACUCUAAUUUUAUUUACUUAAAUUAAGUAAUUCCUUAAAUUGCCGUCAUUCUAUUUUAUCCUGAUUUUGUCACUUAACCUAUAAUUUUCUCACAUAAUUUUACAUUAUCUAAAAUGAAUUUAACUGAUUCCCUCAAUUUUCUCUUUAAAACAAGUCAUUAAAAGUCAAGUAUUUUGUUCCGAAAUGACCUUCAUUAUAUUCAUAUGACUAAACAACCUAUUUGAAUUAAAAUAACAUCCUUUAAACUCAAGAAACUAAAUUUUCUUGUUAGUUUUAACUUUUCAUAAGUAAUAAGAUAUUUUUAAUUUAACACUCUCUUAGCAUUUCUUCCAAAAGAAUCUUUUAUAACAUAAUUGACUUUUCUAUAAUAAUAAGAAAAUAAUUUCAUAACCUUUUUCUCCUACAAAAGAAAAAUUCAGUUUUCUCCUGAGUUCGGAAAUUUAUAAUUUAGUUGAAUAAAAACUAAAUUGUUUUCUCCUGCGAAUAAAUAAAUAUCAUUUUUAAAUGUUAAAUAAAUAAUUUUAAUAUUUUCUAUAAAAUUAAGUCUUUGCAAAAGAAAAUUAACCACUUUAAUUAGCCCAGUUAGUUUUUUUUGGUAAACCAUUUUAAACGGACGCUCCUAAGUGCCUUAAAAAACUUCUUAGGGCAUUAAUGAACCCUUACCCAGAAUCUCUAGUUUUAAAGGUUUAUUUCUGUUUUUGAACCUUUGAAACUUUUUAAUUUUUAUUUUAUUUUUUCUAUAAAAAUCAAGUGGCGACUCUGUGAAUUUUCUUAAAAUUAUUUCAAAAAAAAUUCAGAACUUUUGAAAUAGUUUUAAAGAAAAUCAAAACCAUUUUCUCGUCAAAUAAAACUCGAAAGGUAUAAAACAUAUUGAUCAUAAAAUUAAGGCUUAUGUAUCAUGGAAAGCAUUAGGAGCAACACGCUGAGCAUGGGAGAAGUAGAACAAAGCUUGGAAAGCAUGGGACAAAGUACGAAAGAAUGAUGACAUAAAUUGAACUGGAAAUGUAGAAGCUGACAUUGUGUCGUGCUAUGCCCCUUAGUCACCGCGAUAAGGGGAUGGUACAUUUGUGGUUAAUUUUCGGUUAAUUUUCAUGUGGCACAUUCCAGUCGGCAAUCCUAAUAUUGGUGUGCCAUGGCUCUUAGUCACCGCUAUAAGGGCAUAGCACAAUGAAGGCUUAAAAGCGAAAUGGCACUUUCUAGUAGGCCUCUGCGUUAUCAAUGUGCCACAACCCUUAGUAACCAUGAUAAGGGUGUGGUCUGUUGAUGUGUUAAAAAUGUGCAGUCCAAACCUACUAUAAAAGGAACACUUGUAAUAUUUGAGGACAUUUUUGGCUUACGUGAAGGCAAGGAGAAACACUUACGAGGCUUUGUUUAGGGUUAUUUUACUAUUGAACUUUCUUACUUUAAAUUUGGUAUGACUAUUUCUAUUUCGUGGAUGAUGAUUUCAAACAUGAGUGGAUAAAGUCCCUCGUUUUGGAUUUGAGGCCAAACGUAUAAUUGUAUUUCAAUAUUCUUAGAGUUGGUUAAACAUUGGUUAUUCAUAUAGGUUAUUCUUAAUCUCUUGCUCUUACUAUUUUAAUAAUUGACCACCAUUGAAAUACAUGUUUAAUCUUCUUCAGAACCCAAAAGAAGGAAAAUUAGGAUAGAUCGAAAGGGUUUAAGGAGCAAGUUCUUAUCUUUUAAAUACCAAAGGAUUUGAAUUAGAGUCUAGGAUAGAAAUAUACCUAGAACGCCUUGUUUGGUUCAAUUGCGGGGAGAUAAAGCAUCUAAAAUGAAUUAUCGUAUCCCCGUUCAACGAUGUAGAUGUGAUGUCCUUUUGUGUAGAAGAUCAGAGGCUUGAAAGACCAUAAUCAUAAUAUUAAUGUUGUGAAUCAACAAUCCGGUAACCAGCACAACCAACAAUAAGGAUAUCGAUUUACAUGAUUGCAGAAAGUGUCUUAGCCCUAGAAUUUCCUCUCAUAUUUUUACAUCUUUGCCUACGUUGCUAUUGUCACACUUUGUUGUUCUCUUAUUGGUUAUUUAGUUACUAAACUUUCACAAAUAUUUUGAUACUCUACAACACUUAAAUAAAAUAUUAUCGAAAUUAAAAUUAAGUGAAUUGCUAAACAAGCAGUCCCUGGUUUAACAAUCGAUUCUUUUGAGUAGAAUUUCUCCUUCUACAUAGAAACUACAUUAUAAGAAUAGGUACCACCUAAUAAAUAACUUACACCUUAAGUACCCUCAGUGUUUCUCUACAUUCUCACAAUUUACUUCAGAUUGUAUCUUUGGACGAUUAUACCACCAACUCUAUAGUAGUAAUUCCAUACCUCUUCUGUUACUUUCCAUUUUAGGAAUAAGUGCUCAAUAGUUUCUCUCAUAGGGAUGUUACAACAUCUACAUUCCUACGAGAUACUUGAAUUCUAUGUAUGCAUUAAAGUUAUCGUUGGCACCUUUUAUGGCCAAACUCUCCAAGGAAGAAAUGAGAAUUUAAAUGGUAAUACGAUGCACCACAACUUCUCCAGGUCUUCAUCACCCUGUUCUCUUUGUCUCAACAUCUCCAAGCACUCUUAAUCAUGAAAUUCCCUCUGCUAGAUUUAGUCAACCAAGUUCUAUCUUCCAUGUCUUCAGGCUAACCAUCUUUUUUUACAUAAGUAACCACAUAUUCUCGGACUUCCUUUUGUAUUUUAAUAUAAUUCCACCCUCCUUACUAAAAAAAAUCCACUAUGUCAUUCAAAUGGUGAUGAGUCUGCACUUUUGAUGGUUGGUUAUGAAAAGGACAAGGAUUAGUCCACUUGUCAUACCACAUUAUAGAUGACCGGCCUUUUGGCUUCCAUCAAAGAAACUGUUCAAUAGACUCCCUAUUAUUUAACAUAGCCUUCCAUACUUGGGACCCACCAUUCCCUUGUACCAAAGUAGGAAUUUUCUUUUUGCAAUACUUAACCCAUAAGAAAUUUGUCCACAAAUUUCUUUGUGUUUUAAAUUUCCACCAUAAUUUAACAUGCAUUGCUUGUGAUACAUUAUUUAGGGAUCCAAAAUCUAGCCUACCCUUAUUUUUUGGGUAAACACACUUUAUCCCAGGUUGACUAGUGCUUGCUUCUUCCAUUCUCUUUUCUGUUCCAGAAUAAUUUAGCAAAAAUCAUUUGCAACUCCUUGAUAACACUUUUGAGGAAGUAUUGUUGAUAAGACAUAAGUAGGAAUGCUCCGCAACACACUUUUUAGAAAUACUUCUUUUCUACCAUAAGACAACAGCUUACCUUCCCAAAGUUGAAGUUUACCUCUGACUAUGUCCAAUAAAUCAGCAUCACAUUCACCUUUAGCCAUCCCGAUAUACUUCUCCACUUAUUUCCACACACCUAAAGGGGUGUUUUGAUGCAUAUAGAAAAGACUUUUAUCCAUAUUCACCUUUUGUCUAGAUUGUUGCUCAUACUCCUUCAAUACCUUCAUAAUUCUCUUUAAAGAAUAUUCAUUAGAGGAAGCAAAAAUUAUAGUGUCAUCAACAAAUGCUAAAUGGUUUAGAUUAAGACUCUACUUAAGGAUUUCAUAUCCUACAUAUGAUACAUCAUCAAAAAGGUAAUUAACGGCCCUUGAAAGAACUUCUACAGAUAGGAUAACGAGUGUUAGGGAUAGAGGAUCCCCUUGCUUCACCCUCUAGUAGAGUGAAAAAAUUCAACAGACUGACCAUUUUGUAGCAUAGAGUAGUAAUUAUUAGAAAAACCUCUAGACCACAUCUACCACCGUGUUAGAAAAACUUAUCUUUGUCAAGGCUUUUGUCAAGAAGAACCAUGAAAUCCCAUCAUAGGUUUUUUCCAUAUCCAGUUUCAAAACUACAUUUCCAGGUUGUCCUAUCUUUCUUAUAUUUGUAACCAACUCUUGAGCUAGUAAAACUUUUCCAAUAAUGCUCCUUCCUCUUAUAAAGCAAAACUAAUUGGAAGAUAUGAACCUAGGAAGAAUAUUUUUUUAUCUUUCAUGUAAAAUUCUUGAGAGAAUUUUAUCCAUAAAAUUACCUAAACUAAUUUUCCUCAAGUCUAAGAAAGAUUGUACAUUUUCUUUCUUAAGAAUAAGGACCAAAUUAGUGAGUACUCGAUUUUGGGAGAGUGCUACCUGCAUAAAAUCUCUAACCAUUCUGAUAAUAGCAAGCCUUACUAUCUCCCAACAACAUGAUUGAUAAAAUAUCUUAGAGAGUUCAUCAAGGCCACAUGUACUAUCACCAUUGAGGUUAAACACAACUUUCUUCACUUCUUCUUCAUCCAAAAUAGCCUCAAGAGCUGUAUUCUCCUCUUCAAUUAUUAACUCUGGAAUGUCAUAAAGUAAUGAGCAAUCAGUUACAUCUCUUUCUUGUGUAAACUACCUUUGAUAAAAAGAAACUUCUUCAUCUGCAAUAAGUUUCUCAUCCUCCAGCCAAUUCCCAUCAUUAUUUAAAAUUCUACUCAUUUUAACUGUUUCUUCUACCCUUAACAAUACUAUGAAAGAAUUUAGUAUUUGCAGCUCUACUUUGAGACUAGUCAUAACCCACCUUUGUUGUAAAUAACUCUCUUCUAAAUGCAAAUAUUUAGUGUAUUCAGCCUUAGAUCUUCGCAUAACUGCCCUACUCACUUGAGUAGAACUGUCUUUAAAUAAUUUUUCUUUAAUCUUUACUAUCUUCUCCCUCAUCAAUAGUUGUUGAAAGAUAUCACCAAAUAUUUCUUUACUCCACAAUGCAAGAGCAUUCUUCACCUGCUUGAUUUUUCUGUUAGACUCUAAAAAAGGAUUCCCUGAACAUCCAACAUCCUAAUUCAUUAUCACCACAUCUUUAAAUAUCUCAUGUUCUGUCCAGAAUUUUAGUAAUCUGAAAGGCUUCAUGACUCUUGUUGCCCUGUUCUAGAAAGUAACUAGUAAUGCAACAUUUUCAUAAUCAUCCAUGGGCAAAUGUUCCACCUCAACAUUAGAUCAUUGAUCUUGAAAGAGUGAAUUAGAUAGAAUUCUAUCCAGUCUUUCAAAAAUAUAGUCUAUCCCAUCUCUACCAUUUCACUAAGUGAAAUGACUUCUUCUAAAAUAGAUUGGCAUGAGAUCACUAGAUUCAAUACAAAUUUUGAAAUAAUUCACUUCUGUAUUACUCAUAGGAAGCUCACUAAUUUUUUCUAAUCCAUUAAGAACAACAUUGAAAUCACCACCUACUAUCCACGGUGUAUUCAAAUUAUUAGACAAUGCAAGAAUCUCCUCCCAUAAAGUCAAUCUAUGCUCCCUGUCACAUUUUUUGUACACACUAGUAACCAGAAAACUAGUGUUUUAAGGACACAUAUUUUUAGUAAAAUUGAGAGAUGUUGCUCUGUGUUGCUGAAUACUGUAGCAUCAAACCCGUGGUUGAUAAAGAACCAGAUUUAAUUAUUCAAGUUAUGAUAUACCAAUGACAUCUUCAAUCUAUUUCUAUAUCUAUGAAUAGUUCUUGUAUGCUGAAAUGGUUCCAAAAGUGUGAUAAAAGUAAAUUUAUGGAAAUUGUGUAGCAUCUGUACUCCCUGAAAAGCCUUUUGUGACUUAACAGAUCUAAUGUUCCACAUUAAGGCUUUUAUCAUCUUUUACUGUAUUUUGACACCAUAUUUCUUAUUGGUAGAACUUUGCUAGGUUGAGACCAAUAACCAUGCAUGUAAUUUUUUACUUUUUUUUUACAGAUUUAACUGAUUCUAUUGCUCGAAGGGAUAAGUCCGCUGAUCUACAAAUAUUAUCUUCAAUUUCUUUUGACUGACCUUCUUCACCUUAUCUGAUCUCAUAAUUUGCAACUUUUUCUUAACACAGUGAGGAAGAAUGUUAUAGAGCACUUCUUUAAACUUAUAACUCUACAGAAGAGAUAGAUGUGGGAAUAUCUACAAUAGCCAAAUCCUCAAUCCCAGAUGUAUGCAUUAUAAUCUCCUUAGCCCCUGAUUGUAUCUCCCAUUUCUUUGCUAUUGAGUUACAAGUCUCUAUGUUACAUUACCGCACAGCCACCAAACUUUGUGUUUAUCGUUGGUUAGAGUAUUCAACUCAAUGGAUUGAUCUUGUCUAUAGCAUUUAUCUACAACACCUUGCAUUUUUUCUUCUUCGAUAACAAGAAUUGACUUCUUCUCACUUCCUUCUUUUAUAGCAGGAUCUGUCGACAUCACACUUGUAACACAAGAAAGAGUCUUUUUUCCAUGAUCAGUUAAAAAAGCCUUGGAGACCCACUCCUUUGUUGAAAGUUACUCUACACUUUUCCCUUCUUUUAUGUUGUUCUUCUCCUCAUUCACCAUCUAUGUAAUAUUAUUAUUAGUUGUUGCAACUGAUUGUUCUUGAAUAUCAUCUGUCAGGGGUUGAAAUAAAUUCUCAUUGCUUUUAUCCU
rnacentral:lncRNA from 1 species